AUAAAUCGGUAACCGUUUACACAGUAAUACAGAACAAAUUACAGAAAAUGUCAACACACUACAGAAGCGGGAAGGUUCUUGUAUUUUGACUGUAACUUGUUCGGGUAUAUUGGUUUCCCGACUGAUUAUGCCCGAUCUAAUUGUUUAACACCCGAUGGCUUUCAGCCCGACUGAUUAUGCCCGAUCUAAUUGUUUAACACCCGAUGGCUUUAAGCCCGACUGAUUAUGCCCGAUCUAAUUGUUGAACACCCGAUGGCUUCAAGCCCGACUGAUUAUGCCCGAUCUAAUUGUUUAACACCCGAUGGCUUUAAGCCCGACUGAUUAUGCCCGAUCUAAUUGUUUAAAGCCCGAUUAAAUUGUUUAACGCCCGAUUGAAUUGUUUAACGCCCGAUUGAAUUGUUUAACGCCCGAUUGAAUUGUUUAACGCCCGAUUGAAUUGUUUAACGCCCGAUUGUUUAAAGCCCGAUUGAAUUGUUUAAAGCCCGAUUGAAUUGUUUAACACCCAAUGGCUUUCAGCCCGCAUUAAUUAAACACUGUCCGAUCCAAUUGUAUUUUUGUCCCGAU